AGUCGAGCGAAGCACUUAAGUUCGAUUCUUCGGAUGAAGACUUUUGUGACUGAGCGGCGGACGGGUGAGUAACGCGUGGGUAACCUGCCUCAUACAGGGGGAUAACAGUUAGAAAUGGCUGCUAAUACCGCAUAAGACCACAGUACUGCAUGGUACAGUGGUAAAAACUCCGGUGGUAUGAGAUGGACCCGCGUCUGAUUAGGUAGUUGGUGAGGUAACGGCCCACCAAGCCGACGAUCAGUAGCCGACCUGAGAGGGUGACCGGCCACAUUGGGACUGAGACACGGCCCAGACUCCUACGGGAGGCAGCAGUGGGGAAUAUUGCACAAUGGGCGAAAGCCUGAUGCAGCGACGCCGCGUGAAGGAUGAAGUAUUUCGGUAUGUAAACUUCUAUCAGCAGGGAAGAAAAUGACGGUACCUGACUAAGAAGCCCCGGCUAACUACGUGCCAGCAGCCGCGGUAAUACGUA
rnacentral:rRNA from 1 species